UCCCUUGUGGCUCAGUUGGUAGAGCAUGGUGUUUGCAACGCCAGGGUUGUAGGUUCGAUUCCCACGGGGGAC
rnacentral:tRNA from 1 species